GGGGGUGGAUGAGGCCUGGUGGCUUUCUUGGUCUUCAAAACCAAUGCGACUCUACCAAGUAGAGUCUGGUGGGUUCGAUUCCCAUGCACUCCCGCCA
rnacentral:tRNA from 1 species